AAGCACUCAGCAUUUCAGCUUCUUGCCAUCUCUCCUAAUCAAGAGGAAUUUUCCUCUUGGAAUAAGGCAGAGAUAAUCAGGCUUCGGGGGUCUUGUGAGAAUGAUGCCUUAGGACACAGCUGCCUCAUUCCCCAUGCCAGCACAUUCUGGAAAGGGAUGGAAGAUUCUUUGUGGGCCUUGAGGUGGACUGUGACCUUGGAGUCAUGCUGAGUCACCGGCUGUAACCACUGAGACACAGUGGUGAAGAUGAUCUGCAGACUAUAUAGUACAAGAGGCUCCAGGAGUCUAACAGAGCUUAAUGUAGAUCAAGCUCAGAACAAGGCAAGCAAGGGCCAGGCCAAGCCAACAAUCAAGGUGUGCUCCGCUACUGAGCUAGCUUCCGUGCCUGAGAGGAAGGUCAAGGAAGGCUGCUGCUUCUUUGGUGCCAAGGAGACAGGAUCUGCAUGUGAAAGGGGCACUCUGUGAGCUGCUCUGAGCCAUGGAUCCAACCCCAGAGCUGCUCCUGAGCUCGGCGGGCAGCAUCCUGAAGCAGAGAGAGAGAACUUAGGAUGAAAUUCCUGGGCAGAAGCCACCAAGCCUCCUCGGUCCUCCUGCCCCUCUGCACACUCUUGCAAACAGCAUGGCUUCUCUGCCAGGAACACAAAGAGAGCCAUCACUGGGAGGCAGGGACCAUCUGAAUACAGCACUCAAACUCACGGCAGUUACUCCUGGACCACUGCCCAGAGCAAUCUGUGAAGCCUCAAUACCCUAGAAAUGCUUGGAUGCUAGCACCCAUCCACUUCUCUUUAAAUAACCUGAGUGACACUUCCUGAGUGCUAAGGGCCGGACACCAAUUCAGCUGCUAAGAUAAACCCUGACUGAAGUUCAGUCUUGCUUCACCUUCAAGAACUUAAUUCUAACUACAUAAAAAUCAUGUUCUCCAUCCUCCCUGCCAGGCUGGAGUACAGGCACCUGCACCACCAAGGAUAUGUGGGCUGACUAGCUUGGUUCCGAAGCAUAGAGCUGAUCUGGAAGUGCCAUAUGGUCUUCCUUGGUAGGCUGACCCAGAAGCUCCAACAUGGAUCCACACAUAGCUUCCCAGUUCCUCUUUAGACUCCACUGUCCCAGACCUUUUGUGAUCUAGGAUCAGCCUCUGA
rnacentral:lncRNA from 1 species